GACAUCAUGGUACCCGUGGUCGCUUGGACCUUCUCAGGAAUGUCCUCAAUGGUUGCUCCUGCUCCUCUGUCACCUAUGAUGGCCCCUCUCCUAUAGCAGUGGACAAUUUCUGGUCAUGUGCAUGAGGAAUAACAGAUACUGUUGAAGCAUCUGCGAGCUGAGUGACCCCCUCAACCUCCUCAUUUGGAUCUAAAGAUGGGUCUGUAACAAAAGGAUCAUACUGAUAGGGGACUGAAAUAGUCCCUAACUGUGCAAACCACUC
rnacentral:lncRNA from 1 species